rnacentral:tmRNA from 1 species
GGGGACGACAUGGCUUCGACGAAGCUCGCGAAACCUCAGGUGCAUGCCGAGGACGUCACUUACCUCGUAAAUCAUGUGGCAAAAAAGAUAGUUGCCAACGACGACAACUACGCACUCGCGGCCUAAACACCCGUGAGCUGUCCACACCUGAUCGCCUGUGGUCGGUGUUCGGACAGGCAUAUUACACAGGCUAGCCCCGCGGAGAGCCCGGAUCCGCGCGGCGAAUCCUUAACGGGAUCGCGGUUGCCAGACCCUGGUCGUCGGGUCGGUCGCUGCUAAAACUAAAGACGGCGCUAAGCAUGUAGACCCUGUGGCGGAGGUGCUUCGGACGCGGGUUCGAUUCCCGCCGUCUCCACCA